CAAGGUCUGUUUGUGAAGGCAGUUUAGGCAACAACUCAAAUGUAAAAAGUCAGAAUGGAGCCGAGGCUGCAGCUCCGUGGUAGAGUGCUUAGCUAGAAUGUGUAAAGUAGGAAAUGAUUGGGUCUCCAACAGUUUUUGCUAAGGUGAGAAAUCUUGUUUCUGAUUUUGUGGUAACACCUUUUUUUUUAUUUUUUUAUUUGUCAUGAUGGAGGUAACUGCACAACAGAGUUGACUAAAAAGGCUGAGAAGUUAAAUUAGACAAACUCUGGGAGGUGCCUCUUGUCAAUGGAGUGAGGAUUCUGAGGCUGUGCCAGGAGGAUGGCCACUCUGGUGGAUGUAGCACACGCAGUGUAACUGUAUGGUAGGCUGAGUCGGGCCCACUUUCCCAUUUUCUUUUCCAGCUAGAAUCCUAGUUGAGUUUCACAAUGCCUCCUAAACCAUGAGUACCACAAGUCCCUCCUGGUCUUGCAUCCCUAUUACUGAGUCAGAUUUGGACAUGAAUGUGAGGUACAUGGCAUAGGACUGAAGCCAAACCAGAAGGGUUGCAUCAUCUGCCCAGUGAAAGAGUUUCUUCUAUUUCUUUAGUGAAAACAAAACAAAACAAAACAAAACAAAACAAAACAAAACAAAACAAAACAGGUAAGGGUUUUGACUCUCUUCAAAACGAGGAAAUCAAAAUGUAUCAGUCUCCAUUUUAAUCUCGAACAUUUACUAAGCCAGUGUUCCUUACCCCAGCUCCAGUGGCAGUAGCUCCGUGAACUUUCCACUUGGAUGUUGUCCAUGGACGCAUGUUUCUCAAUGUGUCCAAGGCCUUCAGGAAUAAAGAAUCUAAAGAAAAAUAUCUGUAACAUUUUCAACUGGAAGUACCAAUUUCUUCUUUGGUGUGUUGGUUAAUGAACCAUUUUGAGCAAGCCAUCCUAGCUCUCUUUGAGAAUACCUUUUUAAUUUCAUUCCCAGCGGUUGCCACAGCCUGCAUGGAUCUUAUCUGUUCAUGCAUUGGUUUGUUCUGUAUUGCCCUCAGCAAUACAGAUAGUAUUGAUAGGCAGCUCAAAGCCAGAAAGUAGCCUUGUCUGUCUCAUAACUCAGUGCUUUGAAAAUGUAGGUGCUUAGUAAAUAUUCACUGACUGAAUAAUCAAACUUAGUAGUCAUUUCAAGGACAUCUGUAUGUAAAGUUUAUAUUUUAAUAAGUUGUAAUAAGUAUAUAUUUAUCUUUUUAUAUUUAUUUGAAAGUAUGUAUGUAUGUGCAUGUCUGUGUGUGGGUAGGUAUAUGUGUGAAUGAAAGCACCAAUGGAUUCCAGAAGUGGGCCUCAGAUCCCCUGGAUCUGGAGUUUGAGGUAUUAUGAACUGUUCAGCGUAGGUUCUAAAAACUGAACUCUGGUUCUCUGAUCAUAACUCUUGAGCAUUAUCUGGAAGGAGGGAGCCUUAAUUGAGAAAAUGCCUCCAUAAGAUCUGGCUAUAAGGCAUUUUCUUAGUUAGUUAUUGGCAGGGAGGACCCAGACCAUUGUGGUGGUCCCAUCCCUUGGCUGAUGGCCCUAGAAUCUAUUAGAAAGCAGCUUGAGCCAUGGGAAGCAAACUAGUAAGCCGCACUUCUUUAUGGCUUUUGCAUCAGCUUCUGCCACCAGGUUCCUGCCCUGUUUGAAUUCUUGCCCUCACUACUUUCAAUAGUGAACAGUGAUAUAGAAGUGUAAGUCAAAUAGACCCUUCUCUUCCCAAUUUGGUCUUUGGUGUUUAAUCGCAUCAAUAAAAACCCUAAGAGAGUAGGUUCAAAAGAGAGUAGCAAGGAAUAUGGUGGGACACUUAGAUGGUAGUUCCAUGAAGCAUGCCUUUGGAAGACAGGGUAAGAAGUUUCUCAUAACUGACAGCGAUGGGAAGCCAGCAAGUGCCCACUGAGAAAGGAAUGAAGCCAUCUUGAUUGGAAUUGGUCAGAUUUUGUGCAUCCAGGUUAGUGAUUUUUCAAUUUCCCUGCAUUCAACAUGGGAAUUGUUGGCCCUUUACUCUCUCAACACUUUGAUCUCUGUAAUAGUCAGGCUUCUUCAGAGUUCCCACUCUGAAUAACAGCUGUCAAGACACUACCAAUACAGAUUGUUUUUUCUCUAUUAGAUACUAAUUGAAGGAUCAGAAAAUAGCUUGAAAGCAAUGGCUGGAAUGACUCUGGGAUCCUGCUAGCAAUUCAUAAUUUUCACUAUAAAUCCUAGCUCAAAAUGACUACUGACUCAACAGAUGACUGUGGAUUGCCCUGUGUACUGCUCUGUGUAUAUAAUAAUGAUUGUGUGAUGAUAUGUUUUCAUGUCCAGUAUUUUAAACUUAGUGGUUAUGAUAAGCAGGUACCUGUGCUGGUUUCCGUAAAGCUGAGGUAAACACGUAAAGAAGGAUCAUUUCAUGAUCAUUUCAGAUUACAGUUGGGAAGGUUUAGUCGUAACAACUCAGCUCUGUUGUUUUAGGACAUGGUAAGGAAGAACGAGAUGGGAAGGGUUUGGAGAGGUGAAGCUCUUUACCUUAUGGUGGCCUGAAUGCCUUUGGAAGGCAGGAAAAGAAGUCUCUCAUAACUGACAGUAAUGGGAAGCCAGCAAGCACCCACUGAGAAAGGGGGAGACUCUCGCACCCAAAGCGGAGCAUAUCCACAAUGAUCUACAUACUCUGACCGGGUGCUACCUCCGAAAGUUCUCCCCACCAUCAAAUAAUGACAUCCUCUGGGAACCAGGCUUUCAGUGCAUAUAGUUUCGAUACAUCAUAACAAUAUUCAAAUGUGGAUUUUUAGUACACAAUAUUUAAAGUCAUCCAAUGGAGUAUUUCAUCUCUGAUACUCUAAUUGUAUCAUCCAGUGUGCAGCUUGCUCUUUUUUUGCUACUCU
rnacentral:lncRNA from 1 species